AUGUAUCUGUCCUGUGCAAAUCAGGAACAAAGAAACCACGUUCCUCUCAUCAGAGUACACAAACUGGUCCGGGCCCAGUCUGCCCUCACCCAGCCUGGCUCUGCGUCUGGGGCUCCGGGACAGACGGUCACCACCUCCUGUGCCGGAAGCAGCAGUGACGUUGGGAAGUAUAACGAAGUCUCCUGGUACCAACAGCACCCGGGCACGGCCCCCAAACUCCUGAUUUAUAGGGUCAGUAGCCGGCCAUCUGGGGUCCCCGAUCGCUUCUCCGGCUCCAAGUCUGGCAACACGGCCUCCCUGACCAUGGCGGGGCUCCGCGCUGAGGACGAGGGUCACUGUUACUGCCAUUCACCUAGGAGUGGUGGCACUCUCCACAGUGGCGCAAGUUCCUGGGGAAGUGCGACCCAAACCUGCCCUGAGCUCACGGCCCCUCCUGCUCUGAAGAUGUUGCCCGCCCUGUGCAGAGGGGCUGCAGGCCACUCGCCUGGGGACUCCCUCCUCCGCCAGCCCUCCUCCCCCUCCCUGCAGUCCGACCUGCUCCCCGGCUGACCAUCUAGGACAA